AGAGUUUGAUCCUGGCUCAGAUUGAACGCUGGCGGCAUGCCUUACACAUGCAAGUCGAACGGCAGCGCGGGGCAACCUGGCGGCGAGUGGCGAACGGGUGAGUAAUAUAUCGGAACAUACCCUAGAGUGGGGGAUAACGUAGCGAAAGUUACGCUAAUACCGCAUACGCACUAAGGUGGAAAGUGGGGGGAUCUUCGGACCUCAUGCUCAUGGAGUGGCCGAUAUCUGAUUAGCUAGUUGGUGAGGUAAAGGCUCACCAAGGCGACGAUCAGUAGCUGGUUUGAGAGAACGACCAGCCACACUGGAACUGAGACACGGUCCAGACUCCUACGGGAGGCAGCAGUGGGGAAUUUUGGACAAUGGGGGCAACCCUGAUCCAGCAAUGCCGCGUGAGUGAAGAAGGCCUUCGGGUUGUAAAGCUCUUUUGUCAGGGAAGAAACGGUGAGUUCUAAUAAAGCUUGCUAAUGACGGUACCUGAAGAAUAAGCACCGGCUAACUACGUG
rnacentral:rRNA from 1 species